rnacentral:rRNA from 1 species
UACGUAGGUGGCAAGCGUUAUCCGGAAUUAUUGGGCGUAAAGAGCGCGCAGGUGGUUAAUUAAGUCUGAUGUGAAAGCCCACGGCUUAACCGUGGAGGGUCAUUGGAAACUGGUUGACUUGAGUGCAGAAGAGGGAAGUGGAAUUCCAUGUGUAGCGGUGAGAUGCGUAGAGAUAUGGAGGAACACCAGUGGCGAAGGCGGCUUCCUGGUCUGCAACUGACACUGAGGCGCGAAAGCGUGGGGAGCAAACAGG